rnacentral:tRNA from 1 species
UCCCUGAUAAUCUAGUGGUUAGGAUUUCGGACUUUCACAACUGUGGCCCAGGUUUGAUCCCUGGUCUGGGAA